UACGUAGGUGGCAAGCGUUGUCCGGAAUUAUUGGGCGUAGAGCGCGCGCAGGCGGUCCUUUAAGUCUGAUGUGAAAGCCCCGGGCUCAACCUGGGAACUGCAUUGGAAACUAACGGGCUCGAGUGUGGCAGAGGGGGGUGGAAUUCCACGUGUAGCAGUGAAAUGCGUAGAGAUGUGGAGGAACACCGAUGGCGAAGGCAGCCCCCUGGGCUAACACUGACGCUCAGGCACGAAAGCGUGGGGAGCAAACAGG
rnacentral:rRNA from 1 species